rnacentral:rRNA from 1 species
GUCUAUGGCCAUGCUACCCUUGAACAAGCCCGAUGUCUGAUCCCAGAAGCCAAGCAGGGUCGGGCCUGGUUAGUACUUGGAUGGGAGACCACCUAGGAAGACCAGGUGCUGUAGGCA